rnacentral:rRNA from 1 species
GAACGCUAGCGGGAGGCCUAACACAUGCAAGCCGAGCGGUAGAGUCUCUUCGGAGACUUGAGAGCGGCGUACGGGUGCGGAACACGUGUGCAACCUGCCUUUAUCAGGGGGAUAGCCUUUCGAAAGGAAGAUUAAUACCCCAUAAUAUAUUUUGAGGCAUCUUAAGAUAUUGAAAACUCCGGUGGAUAAAGAUGGGCACGCGCAAGAUUAGAUAGUUGGUGGGGUAACGGCCUACCAAGUCAAUGAUCUUUAGGGGGCCUGAGAGGGUGAUCCCCCACACUGGUACUGAGACACGGACCAGACUCCUACGGGAGGCAGCAGUGAGGAAUAUUGGACAAUGGGUGCGAGCCUGAUCCAGCCAUCCCGCGUGAAGGACGACGGCCCUAUGGGUUGUAAACUUCUUUUGUACAGGGAUAAACCUUUCCACGUGUGGAAAGCUGAAGGUACUGUACGAAUAAGCACCGGCUAACUCCGUGCCAGCAGCCGCGGUAAUACGGAGGGUGCAAGCGUUAUCCGGAUUUAUUGGGUUUAAAGGGUCCGUAGGCGGAUCASUAAGUCAGUGGUGAAAUCUCAUAGCUCAACUAUGAAACUGCCAUUGAUACUGCUGGUCUUGAGUAAGGGUAGAAGUAGCUGGAAUAAGUAGUGUAGCGGUGAAAUGCAUAGAUAUUACUUAGAACACCAAUUGCGAAAGCAGGUUACUAUGUCUUAACUGACGCUGAUGGACGAAAGCGUGGGGAGCGAACAGGAUUAGAUACCCUGGUAGUCCACGCCGUAAACGAUGCUAACUCGUUUUUGGGUUUUCGGAUUCAGAGACUAAGCGAAAGUGAUAAGUUAGCCACCUGGGGAGUACGAACGCAAGUUUGAAACUCAAAGGAAUUGACGGGGGCCCGCACAAGCGGUGGAUUAUGUGGUUUAAUUCGAUGAUACGCGAGGAACCUUACCAAGGCUUAAAUGGGAAUUGAUCGGUUUAGAAAUAGACCUUCCUUCGGGCAAUUUUCAAGGUGCUGCAUGGUUGUCGUCAGCUCGUGCCGUGAGGUGUUAGGUUAAGUCCUGCAACGAGCGCAACCCCUGUCACUAGUUGCCAUCAUUAAGUUGGGGACUCUAGUGAGACUGCCUACGCAAGUAGAGAGGAAGGUGGGGAUGACGUCAAAUCAUCACGGCCCUUACGCCUUGGGCCACACACGUAAUACAAUGGCCGGUACAGAGGGCAGCUACACAGCGAUGUGAUGCAAAUCUCGAAAGCCGGUCUCAGUUCGGAUUGGAGUCUGCAACUCGACUCUAUGAAGCUGGAAUCGCUAGUAAUCGCGCAUCAGCCAUGGCGCGGUGAAUACGUUCCCGGGCCUUGUACACACCGCCCGUCAAGCCAUGGAAGUCUGGGGUACCUGAAGUCGGUGACC